AGGAUUAUAAUUUAAUUAAAAUAAUUGAUUUGCAUUCAAUAAAUAGUAAAAUUUACUUUAUCUUA
rnacentral:tRNA from 1 species